CUAAAUAUGGGGCUCCACGUAAUAAGCCAUUAAAAUGAAGAAAAAGGGAAAGAAGGAGAUGGAGGAGGGAGUGUCCAACUAAUUGUUUUAAUUGAAAAUUAUCUCAUUGUUAGAGAAAAUAAAACUAGAAACUUGGGGAAGCUAAUUUCUCAAAAUCACAAUGCUAGGUCGAGGCAGAACCAAACCAUGGAUACGGGUCCUUUGCUCAAAUUCUUCUCAAUGAAGACUCUGUGAUGAAGAGGCCACUUCCAUUUAAAGGCAGCGACACUUAGAAAAUCACAGGCAUUAAAACUUAGAAGAGGUCACCUUAUCCAACGUCCCAGCCAGCACAGCCAUCCUUUCACAGCAUCCAUGACAUUCAGCCUCCUCUCAGACAUGGGAAGAUCACCUCUUCAUGAAACAGCAGAUUCUUCAAGGGUUCUGGCCAUGCCAUCAGCAACCUGCUCGUCUUGUCCG
rnacentral:lncRNA from 10 species